AUACGUAGGUGGCAAGCGUUGUCCGGAUUUACUGGGUGUAAAGGGCGUGUAGGCGGAGAUGCAAGUCAGGAGUGAAAUCUAGGGGCUCAACCCCUAAACUGCUUUUGAAACUGUAUCCCUUGAGUAUCGGAGAGGCAGGCGGAAUUCCUUGUGUAGCGGUGAAAUGCGUAGAUAUUAGGAGGAACACCAGUGGCGAAGGCGGCCUGCUGGACGACAACUGACGCUGAGGCGCGAAAGCGUGGGGAGCAAACAGGAUUAGAGACCCUGGUAGUCCACGCUGUAAACGAUGAAUACUAGGUGUGGGGGGACUGACCCCCUCCGUGCCGCAGUUAACACAGUAAGCAUUCCGCCUGGGGAGUACGGUCGCAAGAUUAAAUCUCAAAUGAAUUGACGGG
rnacentral:rRNA from 1 species